CAUCAUGGUUGAAGUUGGAGAGAACCUCUACGCACCCCUCACGCCAACGCGUUUUGGAAAAGUCUUGCUUCUUCGUCAACAACGAACAGUACAAAAGACAUUCUCAUCUGCCCGAUAACUGACCAAUCCAAUAAUCCAUCAAUGGCUUCCAUCUACAGCUGCACGGAGUGCGGGACCGACCUCAACCUUCGCACAGUGCAUCUCUUCCCACCGGACUUCUACUUCGAGGCCGGCAACAAGGGUACGCUUUCCUUCUCGAGUGUCGACUCCUCCAAAUUCCAGUUCGAGAAGGAGGACAAGAUCAGACCCUUCUUCGAGACCGUCAAUUACUGGGGGAUCCAGAGGAAGAGGACCAAGAUCAAGUGCAAUAGCUGUGACCGUCUCGUCGGCUACAUCUACGACGACGGUCCUCCUCUCACAAACAGCCCCGGUCAAUUCCAUAUGGGUCCUAGCCAAGUCAUACCCAGAGCUGCCAGGUAUAGGUUCAAGAUCAAGGCGCUUCAGAUCACAGCGGAAACCUGAGUUCUUUUCUGGGUGGUUUAUACUUCAUGGGGUUUUGGGUUGAUUUGAGCUUUACAAGCCUCGGUUUUGUUUUAGUACAAUUUACAGAUUGAAUUCUUCACUAUACUUGUCAAAAAUAUCAGAACAUAUUUUUCCAAUAGAUGUGUUUCACAAGAUAUGUAAGAAACAAUCAAAUAAAAAUUUCUAUUUUCCUUUUUCCAGAAAUAAGAGGACGUAGUUAUGAUAUAUGAACAGGUUGCUUUGUUUUCUGUAAUUUUACUAGUAGACGCCAUUGAUCAUAUACUGUUUACUGACUCUUGGUUUUGAUUCAAGGCUUAGUAACAUAGUUUGUCUGAUGAUUGUUUCUUUCCAAUGCUAGUUUAUCUAACUUCAGUAGCAGUGUGUUGUUAUUCUUAGCAUAAAUGUGGAAUGUCAUCUGUCUAAUCCUGCUUGAAGAUGUACUCCAACUCAUAACUAAAAGGGAAAAAAUGGAUUUUGAAGUGUCCAAGGACUACCACAAACUCAAGCAGACAAAAUGACUCAUAUGUAACGUUAUGAUUUAGAUGUUUCAUUUAUGUGAUUCCAAAACAUUUUAACGGUAGUUUUCCGGGAGUGCAGCAGCUGUUGCAUAAUAUUUACAACCUUCCUUCAGUAUUUGAUGUCACUAUUGGAGAAUCAGACAGUUUUUUUACUCAUUGACGUAAUCUACAUUGAAUGACUGAUUAUUGAACUUCAGUCCAGCGUACCAACAACAUGCUUUUGUUUCCAAGACAAUUUAGAGAGGAACAAAAACAGUAGAAGAGGCUUGCCUCACUCCUAGAGGAGGCAUCCAUCAUCAGAGAGAGUAUAAUAGGAGGUGGAGGAUUUGGAAGGACUUAUAGAAUCAUCCACUCUGGAGUCAUAGUUGGGAUGCAAAGCCAACAGUUGGCAGUCUUCAUCACUUAUUCUCUUCAGAACACUGAUAACCGGCAAAACACUCCAACCAAAUGUUAGAGCAUCAUGCAGCAAUUACUUCAGAAUGCGGGCUAAUGUUUUGCACACUUAAUGAGUUACCUUCUCUGCAGUAAGUGUCUGUUUUCUUUACACAGGUUGGACUUGGGGACGCUUGAUCAUCAUUUUGCUUCCUUUGCGUCCUGUACUCUGCAAUCAGUUUCAAACCUUUGAUAGUGAGCUUUGGCUGUUGAGCACCACAACCGCCACGGCUCUUUUUGACUGGUUUCUCGAGAAACUUGGCCUUGAACUUCAAGUUCAUCACCACCAUAUUUGGUUUUGUUCUUGCAGGCAUCCAACAUCUUUUUGAGCCUUUUUUUUUGGGAUUCUAUGUUUUAAAUGCUUACUUAACUCGUGAUCUUCCUGCAUGAUUAGAAGCAAGUAAAAAAAGUAAAAGUUUAAAAUCAACGGAAUUAAGAAUUAGUUUGAAUCAGUGCAAAUGCUCUCAUAAGCAAUCAAACAUAUUAGAAAUAAGAAGCCACAUGAAACGCAAACAAAAUCCACACCCAUGUAUCAAUCCAUCCAUGUGCUAAUCCUUCGGGUUCUACUCUCGGUUAAAAUAGUUUAAAGAAUUUACAAAUUCUAUGGCAUGUACCUCAUCUGGGAAGCAAAUCAGGCACAACGAAAAGGGAAAUCUCUAGGAAUAUAUACUUUCAAUAGUUCCUGUUUUUUAAUCGAGAAUAUUGAACCAAUCCUACUCCAUCAUAAUUCAAAUGGUCUACUUCCAGUGGCUACAAUGAGCUGCAUCGUUCAUCCUACUUUACUACAGCAGGUGUUUUCCUUUUCCAUAAUUUAUGAGCAACCAAACAGUAAAAUAUCUAAUAAACGGAGAAUUACGGUCUCUUUGGGGCUGAGUAUGCCAAACUGAACCGUACAUUGUAGGUGGGAUUCGUUGUAACUGAAAUUUCUGGAUUUUCAAGUUUGUCGUUCCUUGGAAUUUCUGGUGGCAACAACCAGUCAGUGUUUCUGUCUUCUGCUCUUCGCAUACGACUAAAUCAUAUUUACUCGGUCAACCUUUAUAAAUUAUACCAAUCCAUGUGGAUAUGACAAUGGAUUUUUAAUUGAAAAAAACCAAUGUACGAGUCAUAUUUUGAAGGGUAGAUUUGGAUUAGUAGCUCCGGUGCUGGGCUUGGUCAUGGAAGUGGAUGUUCAUGGUUUUGGGCUCUAUUUAGCCUGUUCUUUUGUGAUCUCAUUAUCUCUUACACUGAGAAAAUUAGCAACUGCGAACUAGACAAAAAUUUUCCCAGGAUGAAGCAAAUAAAGGAAGGAAGUCCAAUUGGAGCUGCAAAGACAAAACAAGCUGUCGUGCCGCCACCUCCACCACUUCCACUUCCAAGGUUCUGGGUUAAGAGAACUGUUGUAGUGAGUGUGACAAAUCUAGAGAUUGCCAGAUUCUGGAGGCAGAAGCGCAUUGAGGAAGAAGAUCACCUCCUUGCUGCAAUCAAGGCUGCAGCACGUUUAAGGGCCCGCAAUCUUUCAGAGGAAGACUACAAGUGCUUUGAAGAGUCCUUGAAGGAUGCGGAUGAAGAUGCCAAGGAUAACAUUAGCACCACUGCUGCUACCAGUGACAGCAACAAAGAUGAAAAGAGUAAUGAAAUUCGAGUGGGAAUAAAGGACUGGUGGACAAAAAGCAAGUAUGCAUACUUAAACCAGCCAGCCAUGGAGUCCCUUGAACCACCCAAAAGAAGAACUUCCACUUACACUCCCAAUUGUUUGUCUUACAAGCCUACUCCCCUGCAUGCUACCUCACUUGGCGUGUUUUAGACCAUUGGAGAUGCUUCAAUUGAUUGUAUUGUCUUUACAUUUAUGUCAAUAAUUGUCGGUUAUACUUGAAAGUUGUGUUCCUUUCAACAAGCAUGCUGUCGUAUUGUUAAUACUUCUGGACAAAUCCCAGAGAAUUGAAUUGAAAUCAGUCUCCCUUUGCUGAUUUUGUUCUGUAAAGUGUACAGCUGCAAGACAUUUUCAGUCGAGUGUGCGCCCCAACUUGGUGUCUCCUCAGAAAUUUAAGAAUGGAUUGUGAUGAAA